UGGGGAAUAUUGGACAAUGGGCGCAAGCCUGAUCCAGCAAUGCCGCGUGGGUGAAGACGGCCUUCGGGUUGUAAAGCCCUUUCAGCAGGGAAGAAAAGCCCGCCCCUAAUACGGACGGGUGCUGACGGUACCUGCAGAAGAAGCACCGGCUAACUCCGUGCCAGCAGCCGCGGUAAUACGGAGGGUGCAAGCGUUAAUCGGAAUUACUGGGCGUAAAGGGCGCGUAGGCGGCCGUCUAAGUCGGGUGUGAAAGCCCCGGGCUCAACCUGGGAAUUGCAUCCGAUACUGGUCGGCUCGAGUGUGGUAGAGGGAAGCGGAAUUCCGGGUGUAGCGGUGAAAUGCGUAGAUAUCCGGAGGAACAUCAGUGGCGAAGGCGGCUUCCUGGACCAACACUGACGCUGAGGCGCGAAAGCGUGGGGAGCAAACAGGAUUAGAUACCCCUGUAGUCC
rnacentral:rRNA from 1 species